ACACAUUCCAGCCAAUCAGCAGCAGACCCUCCCUCCCAGACCCUCCCACCUCCUGGACAGCAUCCAUUUUGAAGCUGCAUUCUUAGUGAGCUGUCCAGGAGGUGGGAGGGUCUGGGAGGGAGGGUCUGCUGCUGAUUGGCUGGAAUGUGUCU